rnacentral:tRNA from 1 species
GGAGAGGUGGCCGAGUGGUCGAAGGCAGCCGCUUGCUAAGCGGUCGUGCGGUGUAGAGCCGUACCGGGGGUUCGAAUCCCCCCCUCUCCGCCA